rnacentral:rRNA from 1 species
AGAGUUUGAUCAUGGCUCAGGACGAACGCUGGCGGCGUGCUUAACACAUGCAAGUCGAACGAGAUCCAUUCAGUAGCAAUACUGAUGAAGAUCUAGUGGCGAACGGGUGCGUAACACGUGAGGAACUUGUCCCGGUCUCUGGGAUAACAGUUGGAAACGACUGCUAAUACCGGAUGACGUCGGAACUUCGCAUGGAGUACUGACGAAAGGGUUACUGGAUCGGGAGAGCCUCGCGGCCUAUCAGCUUGUUGGUGGGGUAACGGCCUACCAAGGCAUCGACGGGUAGCUGGUCUGAGAGGAUGAUCAGCCACACUGGGACUGAGACACGGCCCAGACUCCUACGGGAGGCAGCAGUGGGGAAUCUUGCACAAUGGGCGAAAGCCUGAUGCAGCAACGCCGCGUGCGGGAAGAAGGCCCUCGGGUUGUAAACCGCUUUCAGAAGGAACGAAACUGACGGUACUUUCAGAAGAAGGUGCGGCCAACUACGUGCCAGCAGCCGCGGUGACACGUAGGCACCAAGCGUUGUCCGGAUUUAUUGGGCGUAAAGAGCUCGUAGGCGGUUCAGUAAGUCGGGUGUGAAAACUUUGGGCUUAACCCAAAGCGUGCAUCCGAUACUGCUGUGACUUGAGUUCGGUAGGGGAGCGGGGAAUUCCUAGUGUAGCGGUGAAAUGCGCAGAUAUUAGGAGGAACACCGGUGGCGAAGGCGCCGCUCUGGGCCGAAACUGACGCUGAGGAGCGAAAGCAUGGGUAGCAAACAGGAUUAGAUACCCUAGUAGUCC